GACGAACGCUGGCGGCGUGCCUAAUACAUGCAAGUCGAGCGGACUUUCAAGAAGCUUGCUUUUUGAAAGUUAGCGGCGGACGGGUGAGUAACACGUGGGCAACCUGCCUGCAAGACGGGGAUAACUCCGGGAAACCGGGGCUAAUACCGGAUAAUAUCUUCCUUCACAUGAAGGAAGGUUGAAAGGCGGCGCAAGCUGCCGCUUGCAGAUGGGCCCGCGGCGCAUUAGCUAGUUGGUGAGGUAACGGCUCACCAAGGCGACGAUGCGUAGCCGACCUGAGAGGGUGAUCGGCCACACUGGGACUGAGACACGGCCCAGACUCCUACGGGAGGCAGCAGUAGGGAAUCUUCCGCAAUGGACGAAAGUCUGACGGAGCAACGCCGCGUGAGCGAAGAAGGUCUUCGGAUCGUAAAGCUCUGUUGUCAGGGAAGAACAAGUACCGUUCGAACAGGGCGGUACCUUGACGGUACCUGACCAGAAAGCCACGGCUAACUACGUG
rnacentral:rRNA from 1 species